rnacentral:misc_RNA from 1 species
GAUGAAGAACGUAGCGAAAUGCGAUAAGUAAUGCGAAUUGCAGAAUUUCCGUGAGUCAUCGAAUCUUUGAACGCACAUUGCGCCCGCCAGUACUCUGGCGGGCAUGCCUGUUCGAGCGUCAUUUCAACCCUCAAGCCCCCGGGCUUGGUGUUGGGGAUCGGCACAAGGCGGAGGCUCCCCCGGGAGCCCCCCCGCCCGCCGUCCCCCAAAUGCAGUGGCGGUCACGUCGCGGCCCCCCGUGCGUAGUAGCAACACCUCGCACCGGAGCCCGUCGUGCCCACGCCGUAAAACCCCCGACUUUUACAAGGUUGACCUCGAAUCAGGUAGGACUACCCGCUGAACUUAAGCAUAUCAAUAAGCGGAGGA